rnacentral:lncRNA from 1 species
GUUCAUGCAACCAUAAAAUUAUUAAACUGGAAAAGAUCCAAUGAGGUAAGUACAUCUAAUCCCCUGCCAAGGCUAUGCCUCCCGGUAAACUGGCCAUAUGCAAUCUUUUCUAGCUUCUGUCCUGUGUUUGAGCUGGGGAAUCUAGAGGAGGGGGAAAUGGAGAGCAGGCAUGAGCUGUGUGAAGCUUCUGAAGAGAAAAAAAAAAUCUGGCUUUGGAUACUUCCUAGCUGUGUUACCUUGGCUAAGGCACUUAAUCUUAUUUUCCUCAAUUCCUCGUCUGUAAAAUGAACUGGAGAAGAAAAUGGCAGACCAUUCCAGAAUCUUUUCCAAGAAAACUCCAAAUGGUACCAUGAAGUCAGACACGAUUGAAUAAAAAGUAAGGACUGUACAAAUGGAGACUUGAAUCCAAGACUUCAAUCCCCAGAAGUCCUUGCUCCACUUCCCCAGAAUGCUUUGUAAUCUCACUGAAGUCUCACCUGGGCCGAGAGCAAAUUAUUAUUUGAAGGGUCUCCGCCUACAGCGGUGUGUCUUCUCUUUCCUACUUCCGCUUUGGAACAGACACGUCUCUCAUGAUUCCUCCUUUCAUUCAUCAGGACCCUGCUGGUGCCUCGUCCAACUUGGCUUCAGAAGCUACAGUAUUUCUGCUAUGAACUCCCAUCCACAUUGGACUUCUGGUGGUUCCUCCAAAGCUCACAAGAUUGUUCCAUAUCUAAUUUGGAGCAUAUAAUAAUAUAUGUAUAUAUUCAUAAACAUUAUAGUUAUAAUAUAUAAAUAUAAAUAAGAGCAGGAAAGAAUAGACACAACAGUGGCAAAUGUUACAUAGGUGCCAUGAGGCUUUAAAACAAUAUGGCGGCCUGUCAUAGGGAGGAACUCUUCCAUCUGUAGCCUUUCAGCAUUUUUUCUUCUUUAUUAGAACUGCUGGAGCAAGAGAAAGCAAUUUGGUUGGAUAGUGCCCUUUUUAUAUCACUCAGCUCUGGCUCAGUGGACAAGUAAAAGGCCCUUCUUCACCUUGAAGUUAGAAGACAGGAAAAUCAAAGAGUUGUGCUUACUAUGAAAGGGGAAUGCUGGAUGACCUCCAUUUUGGGGUCCCCUCCAUCAUCACACUUCCAAAAGCAGGCUGCCUAUACUUCCCUCCCCAACAUGGGCCCCCUCUAUAUGCUCCCAAGAACUGGGCCCUUGUUGUUCAAUUCCCCAGUGCAUAUAAAUAUGAUCACAUUUGAACCUCACAAUAAUCUUAGAAAUAAUAUUAGUAAUUAUAAUAAUAGCUAACAUUUAUUAAGCACCUACAAUGUGCCAGGCACUGUGCUAAGCACUUUAUAAAUAUUAUAUCCUCUAAUCUUCACAACAAUCCUGGGUGAUAGGUAUUACUAUUAUCUUCAUUUUACAAUUGAAGAAACUGAGGCAAAUAGAAGCAAGAUUCCUUGCUCAGGGUCACCCAGCUAGUGUCUAAGGCUGGAUUUCAAUUCAAAUCUUCCCAGCACU